rnacentral:rRNA from 1 species
CUACGGGCCGCUGCAGUGAGGAAUAUUGCACAAUGGGGGGAACCCUGAUGCAGCAACGCCGCGUGGAGGAUGACGCAUUUCGGUGUGUAAACUCCUUUUAUAUGUCAAGAAAAUGACGGUAGCAUAUGAAUAAGCACCGGCUAACUCCGUGCCAGCAGCCGCGGUAAUAGCGGAGGGUGCAAGCGUUACUCGGAAUCACUGGGCGUAAAGGACGCGUAGGCGGGUUGGAAAGUCAGGUGUGAAAUCCUACAGCUUAACUGUAGAACUGCACUUGAAACUUCUAAUCUAGAGUAUGGGAGGGGGAGAUGGAAUUAGUGGUGUAGGGGUAAAAUCCGUAGAUAUCACUAGGAAUACCUAAGGCGAAGGCGAUCUCCUGGAACAUUACUGACGCUAAGGCGUGAAAGCGUGGGGAGCAAACAGGAUUAGAUACCCGAGUAGUC